GGAUUGUGGCUCAGUGGUAGAACGCUCCCCUCACACCAGCGGGACCUGGGUUCAAUCCUCAGCACCA
rnacentral:tRNA from 1 species